rnacentral:rRNA from 1 species
AGUGAACGCUGGCGGUAGGCCUAACACAUGCAAGUCGAACGGCAGCACAGUAAGAGCUUGCUCUUACGGGUGGCGAGUGGCGGACGGGUGAGGAAUACAUCGGAAUCUACUUUUUCGUGGGGGAUAACGUAGGGACACUUACGCUAAUACCGCAUGCGUCCUACGGGUGAAAGCAGGGGAUCUUCGGACCUUUCGCGUUUGUAUGAGCCGAUGUCGGAUUAGCUAGUUGGCGUGGUAAAGGCCCACCAAGGCGACGAUCCGUAGCUGGUCUGAGAGGAUGAUCGGCCACACUGGAACUGAGACACGGUCCAGACUCCUACGGGAGGCAGCAGUGGGGAAUAUUGGACAAUGGGCGCAAGCCUGAUCCAGCCAUACCGCGUGGGUGAAGAAGGCCUUCGGGUUGUAAAGCCCUUUUGUUGGGAAAGAAAAGCAGCAGGUUAAUACCCCGCUGUUCUGACGGUACCCAAAGAAUAAGCACCGGCUAACUUCGUG